GGUUAAGCGACUAAGCGUACACGGUGGAUGCCCUGGCAGUCAGAGGCGAUGAAGGGCGUGCUAAUCUGCGAUAAGCGCCGGUAAGGUGAUAUGAACCGUUAUAACCGGCGAUACCCGAAUGGGGAAACCCAGUGUGAUUCGUCACACUAUCAUUAACUGAAUCCAUAGGUUAAUGAGGCGAACCGGGGGAACUGAAACAUCUAAGUACCCCGAGGAAAAGAAAUCAACCGAGAUUCCCCCAGUAGCGGCGAGCGAACGGGGAGGAGCCCAGAGCCUGAAUCAGCAUGUGUGUUAGUGGAAGCGUCUGGAAAGGCGCGCGAUACAGGGUGACAGCCCCGUACACAAAAGCGCAUGUGCUGUGAGCUCGAUGAGUAGGGCGGGACACGUGGUAUCCUGUCUGAAUAUGGGGGGACCAUCCUCCAAGGCUAAAUACUCCUGACUGACCGAUAGUGAACCAGUACCGUGAGGGAAAGGCGAAAAGAACCCCGGCGAGGGGAGUGAAAAAGAACCUGAAACCGUGUACGUACAAGCAGUGGGAGCACAGGUUUACCUGUGUGACUGCGUACCUUUUGUAUAAUGGGUCAGCGACUUAUAUUCUGUAGCAAGGUUAACCGAAUAGGGGAGCCGGAGG
rnacentral:rRNA from 1 species